AAAGAUAUGAGAGAAAAAGAAACGAGAGAGGGGGGAUUUAAUAUUUUUUGGAAAAUAAAGAAUCAAAAAGGAAUUUAAUAUCUUUCCUUUCUUAUAUUUGAUUUUCCUUCUCUCAUCUUUCUUUCUCCCAUAUCUAUUUCUCUCUCAUCCCUCUAUCUUUCUCUCAUGUACUCAGUUGCCCUUUUUGUUUGUUUUUUUUUUUAUUUCUGUUCUUUCCCUUAUUCUUCUCAAUUGAAAACCCUAACUGCCGUACUUAAUAACCAUCGAUGUCACCAUUUAUAGUGGCCUUUCAUGCCGAUUUCAACACCAAACAAGAGAUUUCCUCUUCCUUGUUGACUUCUACAGUUCAGAUCUCCUAGUAGCCGAAUUCAAAUCUUCUAAAAUAAUGACCAAAGCUUCAAACUACUCUUUCUACAAUGGUUUUUUUUUUC
rnacentral:lncRNA from 1 species